rnacentral:rRNA from 1 species
UACGGAGGGUCCGAGCGUUAAUCGGAAUUACUGGGCGUAAAGCGUGCGCAGGCGGUUUGUUAAGCGAGAUGUGAAAGCCCUGGGCUCAACCUAGGAAUAGCAUUUCGAACUGGCGAACUAGAGUCUUGUAGAGGGGGGUAGAAUUCCAGGUGUAGCGGUGAAAUAGCGUAGAGAUCUGGAGGAAUACCGGUGGCGAAGGCGGCCCCCUCGGACAAAGACUGACGCUCAUGCACGAAAGCGUGGGGAGGCAAACAGGAUUAGAUACCCGCGUAGU